rnacentral:lncRNA from 1 species
AUGCUGAAUAGGAUUGCUCUUAUACAUCCAGGGAGGCGGGUGACAAGCACACAGAGCUCACUGCUAAACUACUACAAUCAACAGCUCCCUGGCUCUUCCACAUGCGAACAUUUGAAUUUCCUGUUGGCUCAGAGUGUUUGCAUUGCAAGUGACAUCUGGCUGACAGGAACUUGGAGAAAUGGGAUACGAAGUGAAUGCUGUAGUUACCACAGCAUCAUAUUUAUCAAAAGGCUUAAGGUACUAAGACAGAAAGAAAACUACAUAACUGUAGAAUGGACAGUUCUAAAACUGGAGAUGCACAUUCUGCAUUCUCGGCAGCACAAAAAUGUAGAAAGAGAGAAGGAAAAAUGA